UGUGUGCUGGACUUGAAGAUGG
rnacentral:piRNA from 1 species